UACGUAGGGUGCAAGCGUUAAUCGGAAUUACUGGGCGUAAAGCGUGCGCAGGCGGUUGUGCAAGACAGAUGUGAAAUCCCCGGGCUUAACCUGGGAAUUGCAUUUGUGACUGCACGGCUAGAGUGUGUCAGAGGGGGGGUAGAAUUCCACGUGUAGCAGUGAAAUGCGUAGAUAUGUGGAGGAAUACCGAUGGCGAAGGCAGCCCCCUGGGUCAAGACUGACGCUCAUGCACGAAAAGCGUGGGGGAGCAAACAGG
rnacentral:rRNA from 1 species